GGUAUUGAAAUAAGAUUUUAAAUGAGUGCUAAGAGAAUGAUUAAACAAUUAAAAGCUUUCUUUAAUUAAAAAAUUAAAUUUAAUUUUUUAAGUGCAAAAGCAAAAAUAAAAUUUAGGGACAAGAAGACCCUAUGAAUUUUUAUUGUUAAUAAUUAAUAUUUAAGUUAUUAAUAAUUUAAUUGGGGUGAUAAAAAAAGAAUAAGUAUCUUUUUAGUUAUAAAAUAAGUUCCGUUUUUAGCGAUUAAAUGAAAUAAAUACUCUAGGGAUAACAGCGUAAUAAUUUUGGAUAGUUCAUAUAGAUAAAAUAGUUUGCGACCUCGAUGUUGGAUUAGGAUUCUUUUUUGGUGAAGAA
rnacentral:rRNA from 1 species